rnacentral:rRNA from 1 species
AACGCUAGCUACAGGCUUAACACAUGCAAGUCGAGGGGUCUGCUUCGGCAGACGACCGGCGCACGGGUGAGUAACGCGUAUCCAACCUGCCCUUCUCAUUGGGAUAGCCUUUCGAAAGAGAGAUUAAUACCGAAUAACAUAGUUUGAUUGCCUGAUUAUACUAUGAAAGCUCCGGCGGAGAAGGAUGGGGAUGCGUUCCAUUAGGUAGUAGGCGGGGUACCGGCCCACCUAGCCUACGAUGGAUAGGGGUUCUGAGAGGAAGGUCCCCCACACUGGAACUGAGACACGGUCCAGACUCCUACGGGAGGCAGCAGUGAGGAAUAUUGGUCAAUGGACGCAAGUCCGAACCAGCCAAGUAGCGUGAAGGAUGACUGCCCUAUGGGUUGUAAACUUCUUUUGCCGUAGAACAAAACAUGCCACGUGUGGCAUUUUGCGUGUAUACGUUGAAUAAGCAUCGGCUAACUCCGUGCCAGCAGCCGCGGUAAUACGGAGGAUGCGAGCGUUAUCCGGAUUUAUUGGGUUUAAAGGGAGCGUAGGUGGUUUGAUAAGCCAGCUGUGAAAUACUGCCGCUCAACGGCAGCCGUGCAGUUGGAACUGUCAGACUUGAGUGUACGGGAGGAAAGUGGAAUUCGUGGUGUAGCGGUGAAAUGUUUAGAUAUCACGAAGAACUCCGAUUG